AUUUCCGUAGGUGAACCUGCGGAAGGAUCAUUAGUGAAUCUAGGACGUCCAACUUAACUUGGAGUCCGAACUCUCACUUUCUAACCCUGUGCAUCUGUUUUAAAAUUGGGUAGUAGCUCUUCGGAGCGAACCACCAUUUUUCACUUAUACAAACACAAAGUCUAUGAAUGUAAACAAAUUUAUAACAAAACAAAACUUUCAACAACGGAUCUCUUGGGUCUCGCAUCGAUGAAGAACGCAGCGAAAUGCGAUACGUAAUGUGAAUUGCAGAAUUCAGUGAAUCAUCGAAUCUUUGAACGCACCUUGCGCUCCUUGGUAUUCCGAGGAGCAUGCCUGUUUGAGUGUCAUGAAAUCUUCAACCCACCUCUUUCUUAGUGAAUCUGGUGGUGCUUGGUUUCUGAGCGCUGCUCUGCUUCGGGUUAGCUCGUUCGUAAUGCAUUAGCAUCCGCAACCGAAACUUCGGAUUGACUUGGGGUAAUAGACUAUUCGCUGAGGAUUCCAGACUUGUUCUGGAGCCGAGUUGGGUUAAAGGAAGCUUCUAAUCCUAAAGUCUAUUUUUUGAUUAGAUCUCAAAUCAGGUAGGACUACCCGCUGAACUUAAGCAUAUCAAUAAGCGGAGGAAAU
rnacentral:rRNA from 1 species